GAUGAACGCUGGCGGCGUGCCUAAUAAAUGCAAGUCGAGCGGACGGACGAGAAGCUUGCUUCUCUGAUGUUAGCGGCGGACGGGUGAGUAACUCGUGGAUAACCUACCUAUAAGACUGGGAUAACUUCGGGAAACCGGAGCUAAUACCGGAUAAUAUUUUGAACCGCAUGGUUCAAAAGUGAAAGACGGUCUUGCUGUCACUUAUAGAUGGAUCCGCGCUGCAUUAGCUAGUUGGUAAGGUAACGGCUUACCAAGGCAACGAUGCAUAGCCGACCUGAGAGGGUGAUCGGCCACACUGGAACUGAGACACGGUCCAGACUCCUACGGGAGGCAGCAGUAGGGAAUCUUCCGCAAUGGGCGAAAGCCUGACGGAGCAACGCCGCGUGAGUGAUGAAGGUCUUCGGAUCGUAAAACUCUGUUAUUAGGGAAGAACAUAUGUGUAAGUAACUGUGCACAUCUUGACGGUACCUAAUCAGAAAGCCACGGCUAACUACGUG
rnacentral:rRNA from 1 species